UACGUAGGGGGCAAGCGUUGUCCGGAUUUAUUGGGCGUAAAGAGCGUGUAGGCGGCUUUGCAAGUCCGUUGUGAAAACUCGAGGCUCAACCUCGAGACGCCGGUGGAAACUGCAAAGCUAGAGUCCGGAAGAGGAGAGUGGAAUUCCUAGUGUAGAGGUGAAAUUCGUAGAUAUUAGGAAGAACACCAGUGGCGAAGGCGGCUCACUGGUCCGGUACUGACGCUGAGGUGCGAAAGCGUGGGGAGCAAACAGG
rnacentral:rRNA from 1 species